rnacentral:rRNA from 1 species
ACUCCUACGGGAGGCAGCAGUGGGGAAUAUUGCACAAUGGGCGCAAGCCUGAUGCAGCCAUGCCGCGUGUGUGAAGAAGGCCUUCGGGUUGUAAAGACUUUCAGUCGUGAGGAAGGUGAGUUAGUAGUUAAUAGCUGCAUUUAUUGAUCGUUAGCGAACAGAAGAAGCGACCGCUAACUCCGUGCCAGCAGCCGCGGUAAUACGGAGGGUGCGAGCGUUAAUCGGAAUUACUGGGCGUAAAGCGCAUGCAGGUGGUUUGUUAAGUCAGAUGUGAAAGCCCGGGGCUCAACCUCGGAAUUGCAUUUGAAACUGGCAGACUAGAGUACUGUAGAGGGGGGUGAGUAA